CAAAGUUGCUAUGUGAGUUUGAGUUUCUGAGCUUCUGAAGUAAGCCAGGCUACUUCGCUUGGAUGUCCGUGGAUGGAAAUCACUUCACACGACAAGGGAUCUUCCGUUUGUGAACUCUAGUUUACAUCAGCAGGCCUCGGCACCUACGGAUACAAACCAGACAAAUAUGCUUUGCAUCCAGAGAGAGGGGAUGGGUUCAGGGGCUGCUGCUCCUCGUCUUCCUUCAGCUGCUGUCAGCACUUGACCGACCCUACCACCAAGCAUCACAGCACAGUUAUCACACAUGGAGGAAAAGGGCACUUUUUUUGAUCAGAAAACAACUGAGUAUGCAGUCUGAAGUGGAAGGAAAUGUUGGCACCAUUGCAGUAGAAGAAAGUGCUAACUCCACACAAAAGUAACCAACCGAUAUGGUUUUAAAACUUAAGGAAGAUAGUUGAUGACAGAGAAAAACAACAGCAUCCUAUUCUAUAAGGCCUGCUGGGAGAGGAACUUUUAUCUGCCAAUACCCAAUGCAUAUGCAUAAAAAAAAAAUAUUGCGAAAGAAAUGGCUCCUAAA